rnacentral:rRNA from 1 species
AUUGAACGCUGGCGGCAUGCUUUACACAUGCAAGUCGAACGGCAGCGCGGGCUUCGGCCUGGCGGCGAGUGGCGAACGGGUGAGUAAUAUAUCGGAACGUACCCAGCAGUGGGGGAUAACGUAGCGAAAGUUACGCUAAUACCGCAUACGAUCUACGGAUGAAAGCAGGGGAUCGCAAGACCUUGUGCUUUUGGAGCGGCCGAUAUCUGAUUAGCUAGUUGGUGAGGUAAAGGCUCACCAAGGCGACGAUCAGUAGCUGGUCUGAGAGGACGACCAGCCACACUGGAACUGAGACACGGUCCAGACUCCUACGGGAGGCAGCAGUGGGGAAUUUUGGACAAUGGGGGCAACCCUGAUCCAGCAAUGCUGCGUGAGUGAAGAAGGCCUUCGGGUUGUAAAGCUCUUUUGUCAGGGAAGAAACGGGAGUGGCUAAUAUCCAUUCCUAAUGACGGUACCUGAAGAAUAAGCACCGGCUAACUACGUGCCAGCAGCCGCAGUAA